rnacentral:rRNA from 1 species
AAUAAAGGGCAAUUGUCUUGUAAUUGGAAUGAUGGUGACGUAAAAUCUCACCAGAGUAACAAUUGGAGGGCAAGUGUGGUGCCAGCAGCCGCGGUAAUUCCAGCUCCAAUAGCGUAUAUUAAACUUGUUGCAGUUAAAAAGCUCGUAGUUGAAUUUCUGCGUUGCCCGACUCGGCUACUUGCCUUGUCUGGUUUCGCUUUUGGGGUUUUCCCCUUUUUACUUUGAGAAAAUUAGAGUGUUUCAUGCAGACUUGUGUCUUGAAUACUUCAGCAUGGAAUAAUAAAGUAGGACUUUGGUUCUAUUUUGUUGGUUUGUGAACCUUAGUAAUGGUCAAUAGGAAUGGUUGGGGGCAUUCGUAUUUAACUGUCAGAGGUGAAAUUCUUAGAUUUGUUAAAGACGAACUACUGCGAA